rnacentral:lncRNA from 1 species
ACAUGGUUGGUAUUGAAAAGAUGUCGGUAAAGGAUGUAUUUGUUUGUCGAAGUGUUAAAAACACAACAGCUGGCAAAGGCAUCGUGAGACAAUACUUGGAUGGGACAAGUUUUAGGGUUGUCCUAUCUACACCGCCAUUUUAAUUACUUGGCCGAUCCAUCGGCAUGGCCUUGGUGACCUGCAUUGUGGGUAAUAUUUCUUCAGCUUUUCCUUUUCCAAUCCAUUUAAACGACUAAUAUUGUAAAGGAUCAUCGUAUACAAAACAGAAUGCAAGAUACAUUUAUUUAGAUGCAGAACCUGUCAUCUGUCAAAUAAACUGCAUGCAACACCUGUUUCAGAAGCUUACUAGUAUUUAUACGUUGGCAGAUAUGAGCAUAUACUGCUAUUACUUGAUAAAAUUUUAGAAAAAGUUUCUGAGUUUCUCUUCAUUAUUGUAUUGAAUUGGAUAUAACCUUGCCUAACCCUAGAUGUUCUCUUGUGUGUCUGGACAAUUCUCAGAUCCAGCGCUUUAAGCUAUAUUCAUAAUGGCAAAGCAAAUGCUCUUUUAAUUUAAUAUCUUUUAUGGUAAAGUAAUUAAUUACUAUAAUUUUCUCUCUCUCUUUUUUCCUUUUCAC